rnacentral:rRNA from 1 species
UACGAAGGGGGCUAGCGUUGUUCGGAUUAACUGGGCGUAAAGCGCGCGUAGGCGGGUUUUUAAGUCAGGGGUGAAAUCCCAAGGCUCAACCUUGGAACUGCCUUUGAUACUGGAAAUCUUGAGUCCGGGAGAGGUGAGUGGAACUGCGAGUGUAGAGGUGAAAUUCGUAGAUAUUCGCAAGAACACCGGUGGCGAAGGCGGCUCACUGGCCCGGUACUGACGCUGAGGUGCGAAAGCGUGGGGGAGCAAACAGG